rnacentral:lncRNA from 1 species
GUUGAUCAAUGUUUUUCAAGUAUUUUAUUGUUAUAGGGUUAGAGCUGUGAUGAUGAACUGUGUAUGCACUGUUCUCCACUCAUGAAGGACUAAACUGUGUUCGUAAUGUGAUUGAUAUAGUUCGUGGUGUUGUUUGAUGUGUCAUUGAGACUUAUUGUUUGUUUGUCUUUUUAAUUUGUUACUUGUACUGUUGAGAUUACAUAAAUUAUAUUAAGGUUGUUGAAAGUACCAUUUUGUUUCUGGAUAUUUUUUUCCAGUUUAGUUGUGUAAGUUGUGUGUAUUAAAUAAUAUUUUUUUUAUUAUGUUGAUUAUAUGUUUUUUUUUAUUUUUAAACUUAUUGUUUUUACCGGACCUUUAAAACAAAUACUUGAAGAUUUGUAGAAGUAACUAUAAAAUGAGUGACAAUUAGUAUUUGAGCCUUAAUGGGUUUUAAACGAAUAUAUGUAUUUCUCAUAAGAAUACAAUAGCAUUGACAUGAUGAUAUUGAACAUGUAAGUUAUUUUCAUAAGACAAGAGGAGUGAGCAGGUGGAGAUGUUGUUGCCGUCUUUGUUUAUGUUGGGAUUGUCUCUUGUAUCUCCUGGUGUGGUUGUGUUUGUUUCUCUUUUAUUUGAUGGGUAAUAUGUAAACAAAAAUCAUUGUUAGUUGUAUUUAUCAGAAUUUGUAAUUUACUCUGCUUUUUUUGUUUAGGUAAUUUCACAUAUCUUGGUUGUCGUCUUCUUCGUAAGCAUCUGUGAAAGUAAGUUUGUAAAUUGUUAAAUAGCUGGUCGUGUAGUUUGUAUUUGUUUAGCUGGCUCAAUGUAUGUGUCAU